rnacentral:rRNA from 1 species
GAACGCUAGCGACAGGCUUAACACAUGCAAGUCGAGGGCAGCAUAAAAGUAGCAAUACUUGGUGGCGACCGGCGCACGGGUGAGUAACGCGUAUGCAACCUACCUAUCAGAGGGGAAUAACCCGGCGAAAGUCGGACUAAUACCGCAUAAAACAGGGACACCGCAUGGUGAUAUUUGUUAAAGAAAUUCGCUGAUAGAUGGGCAUGCGUUCCAUUAGGUAGUUGGUGAGGUAACGGCUCACCAAGCCGACGAUGGAUAGGGGAACUGAGAGGUUGGUCCCCCACACUGGUACUGAGACACGGACCAGACUCCUACGGGAGGCAGCAGUGAGGAAUAUUGGUCAAUGGGCGAGAGCCUGAACCAGCCAAGUCGCGUGAAGGAAGAAGGAUCUAUGGUUCGUAAACUUCUUUUGCAGGGGAAUAAAGUGCAGGACGUGUCCUGUUUUGUAUGUACCCUGAGAAUAAGGAUCGGCUAACUCCGUGCCAGCCGCCGC